ACGUCUACAGAGAAAUUGUAAUUUCUUAUCAAAUAUCAACAUAUUUUUUCAUCUUGAUUUUCUGCUAUUUCAGGUUCUUUUCAAUUGAUGCAUGGCAUGGGGAUGGAGAAAAAAAGGCCUCUCCCAAGCUAUGGUGUCCAGCCUUGUGAAGUCCAUCUCAAUAGCCAUUGCCAGGAGAUGGGAGCUAUACAUCACAAUUCCUUCAGCAAGAGAGGCAGUCCUGCAGAGUGCAGACCCAACAUGAAUUGUAUAAUUACUGCCAUUUCCCUGGCGUUAAUAUGGUCGGUGCUAUUGAUUGCACCCACAUAGGCAUCUCCAAGCCAGUUGGCCCAACACCAGUUAUUUCCUGAACAGGAAAAAAUAGAUACUCCAUUUUCUUGGAAAGUCUGCUGGAUGAUGUUUUUCUUCAGUAAAAUAAAUGAAGGCAAAUUCCCUGAUAACUGAGACAAAUUCAGAGAGAGGAAGGAGAACUACUGAGCUGCUGAAUUUCUGACAGACAUACUUGCAAGGACUAUGAAGUUCUACUUAGCCUCUUCAAUGAACCAGACUCCAUCUGCUGUAACUGUGACUGCAUGGGGAUCAAAACCUGUGUAUUAUAAUCCUCAUAACAUGAAGCUAUGGUAACAAACAAGCAACCAUUGAUAAAAAGCCUGAUAUGUCCUUGUUGUGUGUGUGAACCACAAAGCAACCAUCACUCAUAAGGAUGUUUUUAUGUACAUCAGAUGUUCAU